ACACUAAAACUGCUUCAUUAAGCUAAAAAUGUUUUGUUGCUUAGGGUAUCCCUUUAGACACAAUCUACGUGAAAGGUCAGGUACAUGUCCAGAAAUUACAUCAAAUGCCUCACUGUAAAACUAAGAAAAUGUCAGUACUGUAUCCACAGAUAAAAGUGUAAUUCUUUACAUCUGGUCUAAUACUGAGACAUGUAUAGUAAAAGCACGACCAAUAAACUAUCAAUUGUUCAUUGGUAGCAGAGAAAAAAAUCUAUCUAUCUUUAGAAAACUCAACACUUCUCACCAAACAUCUGGUGGCCAAAUAAUUUGUUACAUGAGUCUAAGAAUAGAGAAAAUACU